GUGAAAUGGAAAUGGGGGCCUCUCCUAACUUUGUCCAACUCUGACUUCUCCUUCGGGAUUGACAUCGGGUCACAACUUAAAGAAACGGAUCUUUGAAUCGGCCACACUGCUUCUCUGUGAUUGGGACAGCUGAGAGAACAGAUCUUCUGAGACCCAAAGAGAAGAACAAGGUAUGGAAGAAAAUAGGGCAUAUCUUAAUUAUUUUAGACACAUA
rnacentral:lncRNA from 1 species